AUGAAGAAGAAGGAAACUGUAUCAACCGUAACCUCCCAUCUAGAAGUAAUCAUUGUUACUGUAUUGGUGUAGUUCUUCCCAGUCAAUAAAUGCCAGUUCCCUACUGAGUGGCAGGAAGCCACCAUCCCAGCUCCAGAGGUCAGCCUAUGUGUGUUGGGUACUGUCCAGAGCCUGUCUCCAGUCAUGGAGAGAAUGCUUUGCCUUCCACAGCCCCCAAAAGGAGGAAGACAAAGAAAGUCCAUCUACAAACAU